UUCCAAAUUGACUGGGACGCCCACAGAUACCUGUGUAUCCUGAUCAAUAAAAAUCCUCUUACAGAUUACAGCCGGUGGACUCGGACUGGUCAUUGGGGCUUGAGGAUCUCCCUCCUGAGGGAAGAUUCUCUCUGAGAGUCUUACAUAUGGAGGCUCGUCCGGGAUCGGAGAUCCUCUGCCUAGAGACCACCGACCACCCACCAGGAGGCUAAAAGACCUACAGGUGAUACAGAAAGAAAUCUGCUCACAGCUGACAGCAGCCUAUGCCCUGGAGACCCCCGAGACAUCCCAUCAGUUCCAGGUUAGAGACUACAGCUACACUGAGCCCAGACACUCGAGCCUCGCUGGAAAGGACCGUACCUGGUGCUGCUGACCACCCUGACAGCCAUCAAGUCUCAGCCCUCACCAGCUGAGUACUAGCUGUUGGAGCUGAGAGCUGGGACCUAGAGGGACACUCAGAUCUUCAAAAAGCUCCCUAGACUUAGUGAUUGGGAGGUUGCUAUAAUGCUCACUUGAGGAGUGUGUUUUAGAAACAAGAAUUUCAUGUUUGCCUGUUUGCCCUGGGUUCCCUCGGAAUAGAUAUAGGGAUAGGCUUGAUUUUUAUUGCAAAUGAUGUAACAUUACAUAUGUUAGUACUCCUAACACUUCUUGAGACUGUGCCUCAGGGAUCACAAUCUAUAUAAGUUUAGAAGUUCUAAAAGACCUUGGUGUAUAG
rnacentral:lncRNA from 14 species